rnacentral:tRNA from 1 species
GGCGCCGUACCCAAGUGGCUAAGGGAGCGGUCUGCAAAACCGUUAUCACCAGUUCGAUUCUGGUCGGCGCCUCCA